rnacentral:rRNA from 1 species
AACCAGCGCCUCUAGUGGUAUCCACGAAUAUUGGGUCUAAAGCGUUCGUAGCCGGUUUGUUAAGUCUACUGUGAAAUGUUGGGGCUUCACCCUAACGCGCGCAGUGGAUACUGGCAGACUUGGGAGCGGGGGAGGGUCGGAGUACUUUCAGGGUAGGGGUAAAAUCCGUUGAGCCUGAAAGGACUACCAGUGGCGAAGGCGCCUGCCCAAAACGCGUCCGACGGUGAGGAACGAAAGCUGGGGGAGCGAACGGGAUUAGAUACCCCGGUAGUCCCAGCUGUAAAUGAUGCAGACUGUGGUGUUACUCCAUCGUAAGAUGGGGUAGUGCUGUAGCGUAGGUGUUAAGUCUGCCACCUGGGGAGUACGAUCGCAAGAUUGAAACUUAA